AUCAAGUUGAGUCGGGUGAACCGGCAGGUCGUUCAGUUUGUUGGGUCCUAGCCGAUAGAAUGGUUGGGUAAGUAGUUUGUGCAUGCAUGUAGUUGGAGUGGUCAGAGGUGGUGUCCGAGCCAUAUGGAUCAUGGAGAGACUUUAGGAAUUACUUAGUGCAUGGGUUAGUGGUUAGCAGCCGAGAGCGGCGGCUGGCCCGUGCAUGCGUGGGUUAGUGGCGGGUGUGGCCGUGGCUGUGUGUGUGCGUGAGUCUCUAUAUAAGAGAUGUAAAGCUUGUUGUUUGAGCCGAGGCCGAGAGGGCUGAAGUAAACAUGUAGCCACGGUGUGCCACCAAGAAAGUGCUUUUGGCAAAGUCAUUGUAUUUCUCUUGGUGCAUGUGUGCGUGUGUGUUCUCAUGUGUUCUUGAGAGAAACAAAGAUAGAUGGAGGUUGAGUUGUGAGAGGCAGCUCAAGGUAGGAGAAGAAGCAGCGCUGCGAGGUGAGGCGGCGGCAACAAUUGGCAUCAGAGCCCCGGUAGAUCCGAGGCGGCGACGGCGGCGCGGCCGACUCCAUGUGAGGUGGAGGACGGUGGCGCAAGGUGGAGGCCGUUGGCGGCGCGAUGCCGCUGGUGGCCGAUUGCGGUGCGAUGCCGCAAUAUGAUGAUGGUGUGAUGGUCGGCCUCGCGAGGACGUCAUCCACGACAAGACGGUCCAUGGUGACCGGCGCUGCGACGGCGUCGGCUGUGGCGCGAUGGAGGCCGACAGCGCAAGAAGAAGGAGGGUGGCCAUGCGGUGCCGCUAUGUGAAGAUGGUGGUGCGGAGCUGCCACAAGAAGAGUCGGUGUGAUUCCGACGACGGUGGUGUCAUGCCAUCGUCAUCAUGGAAAGUUGGUGUUAAGCCAGCAAAAAAAAGUUGUGGUGCAAUGCCGCUUGACGAAGACGGCAUCGUGAUCGGCGUUGCGACAACGUCCUCCACGUCAAGAGGUGGCCGCCGCAUGCGGCAAGAGGACAUGGUGAUGGACGCCGGCGCUGCGAUGGCGUCGGUCCACGACAAAUUGUGCAGCGCCACGAUGGCGUCGUCAAGUGGCAGCGGGUGAAGCCGCGUGAAGAUUGAAGAAUCAAGAUUAGGAGGGAAAAUGUUAGGUUUAAUCUUGAUUCAUGUAUCUGCAUGUAGUUUAGAUGGUAGUAGGGUGAUGUAGGCCGGUGAAGCUUUGGUUGUGCACGAAGAAGGCGAGAUGCCGGGCGGCCAUGUGAUGGGGCGAGCAUGACAAGAUGCUCAUGAUGCUGUGAGGUACGACAAGGUCACGAGAAGCGGCAAGACGUGACGAAGACUGGAGCGUGAUGGACCGCAUCAAGUUGAGUCGGGUGAACCGGCAGGUCGUUCAGUUUGUUGGGUCCUAGCCGAUAGAAUGGUUGGGUAAGUAGUUUGUGCAUGCAUGUAGUUGGAGUGGUCAGAGGUGGUGUCCGAGCCAUAUGGAUCAUGGAGAGACUUUAGGAAUUAGUUAGUGCACGGGUUAGUGGGUUAGCAGCCGAGAGUGGCGGCUGGCCCGUGCAUGCGUGGGUUAGUGGCCGGUGUGGCCGUGGCUGUGUGUGCGCGUGAGUCUCUAUAUAAGAGAUGUAAAGCUUGUUGUUUGAG
rnacentral:lncRNA from 1 species